AACUAUGUGCCAGCAGCCGCGGUAAUACAUAGGUCACAAGCGUUAUCCGGAAUUAUUGGGCGUAAAGCGUUCGUAGGCGGUUUGUCAAGUCUAGAGUUAAAGCCUGGGGCUCAACCCCAGCCCGCUCUGGAUACUGGCUGACUAGAGUUACAUAGAGGUAAGCGGAAUUCUUAGUGAAGCGGUGGAAUGCGUAGAUAUUAGGAAGAACACCAAUGGCGAAGGCAGCUUACUGGAUGUACACUGACGCUCAGGGACGAAAGCGUGGGGAGCAAAUAGGAUUAGAUACCCUAGUAGUCCACGCCGUAAACGAUGAUCAUUAGUCGCUAGGGAACUUAGUGACGCAGCUAACGCAUUAAAUGAUCCGCCUGAGUAGUAUGCUCGCAAGAGUGAAACUUAAAGGAAUUGACGGGGACCCGCACAAGCGGUGGAGCAUGUGGUUUAAUUUGAAGAUACGCGUAGAACCUUACCCACUCUUGACAUCUUCUGCAAAGCUAUAGAGAUAUAGUGGAGGUUAACAGAAUGACAGAUGGUGCAUGGUUGUCGUCAGCUCGUGCCGUGAGGUGUUUGGUUAAGUCCAGCAACGAGCGCAACCCUUGUCUUUAGUUACUAACAUUUAGUUGAGGACUCUAGAGAGACUGCCUGGGUAACCAGGAGGAAGGUGGGGAUGACGUCAAAUCAUCAUGCCUCUUACGAGUGGGGCCACACACGUGCUACAAUGGUCGGUACAAAGAGACGCAAUAUGGUGACAUGGAGCAAAUCUCAAAAAACCGAUCUCAGUUCGGAUUGUAGUCUGCAACUCGACUACAUGAAGUCGGAAUCGCUAGUAAUCGUAGAUCAGCUACGCUACGGUGAAUACGUUCUCAGGUCUUGUACAC
rnacentral:rRNA from 1 species